rnacentral:rRNA from 1 species
UGGGGAAUAUUGCACAAUGGGCGCAAGCCUGAUGCAGUGACGCCGCGUGAGGGAUGGAGGCCUUCGGGUUGUAAACCUCUUUCGCCAGUGAAGCAGGCCAUCUUCUUUGUGGGGUGGUUGACGGUAGCUGGAUAAGAAGCGCCGGCUAACUACGUGCCAGCAGCCGCGGUAAUACGUAGGGUGCGAGCGUUGUCCGGAAUUAUUGGGCGUAAAGAGCUCGUAGGCGGCUGGUCGCGUCUGUCGUGAAAUCCCCUGGCUUAACUGGGGGCUUGCGGUGGGUACGGGCCGGCUUGAGUGCGGUAGGGGAGACUGGAAUUCCUGGUGUAGCGGUGGAAUGCGCAGAUAUCAGGAGGAACACCGGUGGCGAAGGCGGGUCUCUGGGCCGUUACUGACGCUGAGGAGCGAAAGCGUGGGGAGCGAACAGG